rnacentral:lncRNA from 1 species
UUUAAACUCUGUGAAAUGGACAUGAGUGCAUUCACCCCCAUGUCAGGAUAUAUUCAGUGUAGCACAGAGGGAGGGUGUGUGUAAGCCUGAAGUAUUCUACAGGGAUGGCUGUGCUAAUCUGGGGAGUGCCUGCUCUGUUUCUAGAGCUAACUCUCUGCACCUGGUACCCCAAUCAACGCUUGUAAAACUAUCCUUCACUAUGCCAUACUUCUGCCUGCAGCAAUAUGAAUAGGAAUCAGCUUUCAGCUUCUGAUAAACCCAGCGACUCAUUGUCCAGCUUCCUGUUCCUGAUAUGCAGAACACAUGUCAGAACAACUGGAGGGAUGACAACAAUGAGAGAUGAAAAAUGGAAAAUACCUACAGAACUGAAGACCUGAAUGCACAGGUUGAACUGGACUGUGCUUAUGGCCAGCAGGCAACCUAUGUCCACAAGGGGAAUGAAUCCAGGCAGUUUUCUUUGACAUAAAAAGGAAGAAGUCUGAAUGUCUGUGGUAACUGAACUAUCCAAAUCACCUUAAUCAGUAGCCUCACUUGAGCACAGGAUAAAUGAUGCAAAACAGGCCAGAUUUAUACUUAAGGUUGAUAAUAACUAAUAAUUCAGAUUCUAGAAGUUUUAAAUAUCUAUAAAAUCAAAAGAAUUGACAAUGAGAAAAAUAUGCUUUUUUACUAAAACAUUUCCACAUAUGUUUCAUGGAUAAAUACCAGCUUAUUAUUAACUUUAGCAUAUCAAAAUAAACACGCUGAGUGAUUUUUCUCAGCCUCUGAUAAUACUGAGGUGGAAUAUAAAUAUUUCAGCAGUCCAAGCUCCCACAAAAGCAGUAGAAAAUCAUAGGCAUCUAACAUCUCACCAUUCACACUGCUUCCUGGGUAUGCUAAGGAAUUCCUUUGGCUUUUUCUUCCAAGCUGAGAUGAUGAGACUGGACAGGAAUUACUAUUACUUUAGUGGCAGAUUAAUAAGAAAUUAUGUGGAAAACAUUAAAAGCGUUUGGCAUUUAUACCAGUCUGUAAUAGUACUCAAUGGUGGUCAUUCUCUUGAAGGGGAUAAAUGCUUCAAUAAUGCUUAAUGUUCAGUUUGCAGUCAUUCUUCUGGAAUAGCAGAAACUCAAAAAUACAAUUAUGAAUCUAACUUGUCUGAUGACCGUUUAAAUUCCAUUAAUAGUGGACUUAGCUGCUGUAAGAAUUUCUUAUUCUUACUGCAAUUUUUCUGUUUUGAAACAUAUAGAAAGACUAGGUUUAAGUUAUAAACAGUACAGUAAUUCAUAUUGCUUACACCCUCUGGUUGGGGACUUGUAAUUUCAUAGUUAAUGACUUCAUUGUAAGAACAGUAAGAGAAACAGAAGAUGAUAGAAUGAUUUCAGCUUCUUUAGCCUUGAAGAGCAUUAUGAAAUAUAAAGCAAGGAAAGUUAGUGAAUCUAGUGCUGCAUAAGAAGAUUGUAAGCAUACCCCUGCCUGUGAAGCUUUCAUAUUCAGUCUUUUUGUGAUUCUAUUCUGAAAAUAGUAAGAGCUGCUACUAGAUUUUAAUUCUCAUAAGUGCCCAAUAUUUACACUCCAUAAAAACAGAAGGAGAAUAUGACUUCAAAAGAUCAUCUGUUAGUACCCCAUUUUCUGCCAUAUUUUUGACUCUGUGUCCUGAGUGCAGAAUAACUCAAUUUAGCUGAUCACUAAUUUUUGUUAAUGACACUUUUUGUUUAAGUGCCUGGAGUUGGUUACUGGUCUUAUCUGAUAAGAUAAACACAUUCUUUAAAAUGUUUUAAGAUAAUAAUUACCUCAAUUAAUAGUUAUAUUUACAAUGCCUAUCGGGCCCUGUGCACAAAUCUACCCGGAAACUAACUACAACUACCUGUGAAAGAAAUGAAUGGAAAAAGAUUAAAUACAUUAUUAAAUACAAACCUGAGGAUAUUGGUCAGUGAGGUACAUUUACACACACUCUAACAUUUUAGAUAUUUAUCUUAGCAGAUACUUUUUUAGAAAACUGUGAUGUGUACAAUGCUUCAUUGAUGAUACACUUUUGACAAUGCUGUCAUUAGUGCUGUUUUAAAACAUGGAGAAAACUGUUACAGCUAAUGACAUUGAAUUCCCCAGCCUUUUAUUUAGGAAAGAAAAUCAGUAGCCUGUGUGGAAUCUGCAUGGUAGAAAAGAGGAAAAUAAUAUUAAAAAAAAUCUGCAGUGGAAAAGUGAAAUAUUAUGAAGUCUGCUUUUUAUUUAUGAUCUAAAAGAAAUUACUCUGCCUGUUAGAUGGUUAGGUUGAUAUAAUGAUUUUUUUAGGGAGCAUAGUAUUAUUCAUGAAAUGUCUGCUAACUGGAGAACCAUUCAGGAACCUGGCUUGUAUAAGAAAGUGUUGUCAGCAGUAGCAGGACAGUGAUCGUUGGCCUGUACUUUGCUGGUGAGCAUGGUUGGUGAGGUUGCAGCUAGAGUACUGUGUUCGGUUUUGGACCCCUUGUUGAAGAAAGAAAUUGAGGUUUCUGAGCAUGUCAGGGGAAGGGCAACAAAGUUGGUGAAGGGUCUGGAGUGGCUGAGGGAGCUGGGAUUGUUCAGUCUAGAGAAGAGGGGGUUCAGGGGAGACCUCACUGUCCUCUACAACUACUUGAAAGGAAGGAGACGGUGGUGACAUUGGCUUCUUCUCCUGCAUAACUAGUGGUAGUGGUAGUGGUAGUGGUAACUAGUGGAAUGGCCUCAAGAUGUACCAGGAGAGGUUCAGAUUGGACAUCAGGAAAAAAAUUUUUCUCCAAAAGAGUGAUCAGGUGCUGGCACAGGCUGCCCAGGAAGGUGGUGGAGUCACCAUCCCGGGAGGUGCUCAAGAAACAUCUAGAUCCUCAAGGAUGGGGAGGGCUGGGAGAGGGUCCAUGCUCCAUAUUCUUGGCAAAUCACCCUCUACCACCCCCCACCUACCUUGUGUUCCCAGGUCCCCCUAAGCAAUAGGUUUGCAGCAUUGGACACUGAAGGGGGGGUAUGUGAGAAGGCACAGGAAGGCUCCCCUAAGAGGUUACAAAGGGCAAGACAGUCUACUCCACAUGCUGAGACUGUCUCUGCCAGGAAAGACAGAAGGGUGGUUGUGGUAGGUGACUCCCUUCUCAGAGGAACAGAAGGUCCCAUUUGCAGACCAGACCCAAGCCGUAGGAAAGUGUGCUGCCUUCCUGGUGCCCAGGUCAGGGACAUAACUAGAAAACUCCUGAAAAUGGUUCACUCUACCAAUUACUUCCCAUUGCUCAUAGUUCAGGUGGCCAGUGAUAAAAUCGCUCAGAGAAGCCCAUGAACUAUGAAAAGAGAUUUCAGGGGUUUAGGGUGAAUAGUUCAAUGAGCAGGAGCCAUAUGGUGUUUUGUUCUAUACCUCUGGGGCUGUAAAGGACAUGCAGUGGGCUAGGAAAACACAGGUAACGAAUAAUUGGCUCAGAGGCUGGUGUCAAGGCAGGAAUUUGGGGGUUUUUGACCAUGGGGCAGUUUAUUCAGCCCCUGGCCUGUUGUCCACGGAUGGAACUCACCUGUCUCAAAUGAGUCCUAGUGCAGGAGCUAGCAGGGCUUAUUGAGAGAGCUUUGAACUAGCUAUAUGGGGGAAGGGGACAAAACAGGGCUCACCAGAGAUGAGCCUAGGGGAACAGUGCUGAAACUGGGGGUGAGGCAGGUGUCUCAUCUGAAGUGCACCUAUGCCAAUGCAUGCAGCAUGGGCAACAAACAGGAGGAGCUGUUUAGCUGCAGGCUAACUAUGACCUAGUUGCUAUUACUGAAACAUGGUGGGACCACCCCAUGACUGGAGUGCUGUGAUGGAUGGCUACAAGCUCUUCAGAAGGGAUAGACAAGGAAGGAAGGCUAGCCGGUGAUGUGGCUCUUUAUAUUAAAGAAUGUUUUGAUGUUGAAGAGCUUGGGGUUGGGAAUGAUAAAGUUGAGUGUCUAUGGAUAAGGCCUGUAGGGGUGACAUCUUGGCAGGGGGGGGUGUGUUAUAGACCAUCUAAUCAGGAUAAAGAGAUGGAUGAGUCAUUCUAUGAGCAGCUUGUGGAAGUUGCACAAUUGCCAGCACUCGUUCUCAUAGGUAACUUCAACUUCCUUGAUAUAUGCUGGAAAUAUAAUACAGUGCAGAGGAAGCAGUCCAGGAGGCUUCUAGAGUAUGUGGAAUAUAGCUUCCUUGCAAAGCUGGUACGAGAGCCUACCAGGGUGGUGCCCUGCUAGAUCUGCUCUUCACUAACAGAGAAGGACUGGUGGGAGAUGUGAGGGUUGAGGACUGUCUUAGGCAGAGUCACCAUGAAAUUACAGAGUUCCUGUAGCAAUUGGACAGAUCAGUAUGAUGGGAAAGGUGUUACAACAAAGGUGUGAUGAUGGAAGGACUGGUCACAACACCCCCAGGCAACCCUACAGGCUUCGGGAGGAGUACCCAGAAAACUGCCUGAUGGAAAGGGACCUUAGCGUACUGAUGGACGGUCAGCUGAAGAUGAGCCAGCAGUGUUCCCACGUGGCCAAGAAGGCCACUGGCAUCCUGGCUUGUAUCAGGAACGGUAUGGUGAGCAAGACUAGGGAAGUAACCCUGCUUCUGUACUGAACACUGCUGAGGCCCCACCCUGAGUGCUGUGUUCAGUUUUGGGCACCUCAGUACAGAAAGGAAAUGGAGGUGCUGGAGCAGGUCCAAAGAAGGGCAACAAGGCUUGUGAAAGGCUUGGAGAAUAUGCCCUAUGAGGUGCGACUGAAGGAACUGGGGCUGUCUAGUCUGGGGAAGAGGAGGCUGAGGGGAGACUCUAUUGCUCUCUUUAAAUACCUGAAAGGUGAUAGCAGCAAGAGUGGGGUUGGUCUCUUCACACUGGUGACAGGAUGAGGGGAAAUGGCUUCAAGUUACGCAAGGGGAGGCUUAGGUUGGAUAUCAGGAAAAAUUUAUUUACAGAAAGGGUUGUUAAACACUGGAAUAGGCUCCCCAGGGAAGUUGUGGAGUCACCAUCCCUGGAUGUGUUUAAAAACCGUUUGGAUGUGGUACUCAGGGACAUGACUUAGCAGAGGGUUGUUAGAAUUAGGAUAGUAUGGCUAGGUUGCAGUUGGAUUUGAUUAUCUUUUAAGGCCCUUUCCAAUCUGAGUAAUUCUAUGAUAGAAAAGUGCUAUAAAGGAAGGGAAGAAGGUUGCUCACUUGUAUCGGAAGACUCUAGGUUCUCACAGGAAAGCUUCACCAAGGAGGCAUCUGUAGAAAGAGAUCCUUUCCCAGUGGCAGUCAGCCCUUAAAUGAGGUCUAAGAGAGGUGCAGCCAGGCUCCACCCCUUCUGGUUGCACGGAUGAAUUGCCUUCACCUGUGCUCCCAGGGCUGACUGGGUCCUUUCCCCACGUGCUCAAUCAGUGAUUCAGGCUGUGACUCAACAGUUCCCAUACAGUUCUUUAUUCUUGGUGAUGUCAGAAGGGUGCCUAGCAAAACAACUGUCUUGAACUUCCAGAGGGUGGACAUUGACCUGUUCAGGACACUUGUUACAGGGGUCCCUUGGGAGUUGCUCCUGAAGGGUAAAGGGGUCCAGGAAGCCUGGGUGCUCCUCAAGAUGGUAAUCUUAAAGGCACAAGAACAGGCUGUUUCUGAGUGCCAUAUGGCAAACUGUAGGGGAAGAAGGCCGUGUGGAUGAACUAGGAACUAUUGUUGAGACUCUGGGAGAAAAAGAGAGUCUACAUUCUCUGGAAGAAGGGACAGGCUACUUGGGGGAGACUACAAAGAAGUUGCUAAGAUAUGUAGGGAGGAAGCUAGAAAGGCAAAGGCCUGGCUUGAACUCAGACUGGCCACUGCCAUAAAAGAGAACAAGAAAUCCUUUAACAGAUGUAUUAAUGGUAAGAGAAGAACCAAGGAGAAUUUCCAUCCUUUACUUGAUGCAGCAGGGAAUGUGACCACUGUGGAUAAGGAGGAGGCUGAGGUCCUCAGUGCCUUCUUUACAUCUGCCUUUAAUAGUCUGAUCAGUUAUCCUCAGGGCACUUUACACCCUGACCUGGAGGUCUGGGAUGGAAUGCAGAAUACACCCCUGGUGAUUCAGGAAGAGACAGAGAGCUGUUCCUCCAUCUGGACUGUCACAAGUCCAUGGGACUGGAUAUGCUCCACCCUAGGGUGCUGAGGGAGUUGGUGAUUGCUGAGCCACCUUCCACCAUCUAUCAGUGUUCCUGGUUAUCUGGAGAGGUUCCAGAGGAUUGGAGGCUUGCCGAUUAGACUCCUAUUUAAAGGAGGGACAUAAGGAGGAUCUGGGGAACUAGAGGCCUGUCAGCCUCACCUCCGUACCAGGAAAGUUGUGGAGCAAAUCACCUUGGGUGAGAUCACAUGGCACGUGCAUAGCAUCCAGGGGAUCAGGUCCAGACAGCAUGGGUUCAUGAAAGGCAGGUCAUGCUUGACCAACCUCAUCUCCUUCUAUGACCUUGUGACCAGACUAGUAGAUGAGGGAAAGGCUGCUGAUGUAGUCUACCUAGACUUCAGCAAAGCCUUUGAUACAGUCUCUCACAGUAUUCUCCUGGGCAAACUGGCUGCCAAUGACCUGGACAGGUAUACCCUUCUUUGGGUAAGGAACUGGCUAGAGGGCCAUGCCCAGUGGGUAGUAGUUAAUGGAGUUAAGUCCAGCUGGCGACCCAUUACAAGUGGUGCCCCCCAGGGGUCAGUACUGGAGCCCAUCUUGUUUAAUAUCUUUAUUGAUGACCUAGAUGAAGGGAUUGAGUGUACCCUCUGUAAGUUUGCAAAUGACACCAAGUUGGGAGGUAGUGUCGAUCUGCCUGAGGGUAGGGAAGCCCUUCAGAGGGAUCUGGAUAGGCUGAAUCGCUGGGAUGAGGUUCAACAAGGACAAGUGCCAGGUCCUGCACUUUGGCCACAAUAACUCCAUGCAACACUAUAGGCUAGGGGCAGACUGGCUAGAUGACUGUGAAGAGGAAAGGGACCUGGGGGUGUUGAUUGAUGCUCAGCUGAGAAUGAGCCAGCAGUGUGCUCAGGUGCUCAAGAGGGCCAGUGCAAUCCUGGCCUGCAUUAGAAAUAGUGUAACCAGCAGGAGCAGAGAGGUAAUCAUCUCCCCGUACUCAGCUCUGGUGGGGCUGCAGCUAGACUACUGUGUUCAGUUUUGGGCCCCUCACUACAAGAAAGACAUUGAGGCCCUGGAACAUGUACAAUAACAUUGUACAUAGAGGAAGUGGACCUGGGGGUAUUGAUUGAUGCUAGACUGAACAUGAGCCAGCAGUGUGCCCAGGUGGCCAAGAAGGCCAAUGGCAUCCUGGCUUGUAUCAGAAAUAGUGUUGCCAGCAGGAACAGGGAAACAAUUGUUCCCCUGUACUCGGCACUGGUGAGGCUGCACCUUGAGUACUGUGUAUAGUUU